AGAUAAGGCUGCAAUUUGCUAGGUCCUGCUUUUUUGCCACCUAACCCAACCCAUAAAAGUGGCCUAAAAGAAAGCCGGAGAGGGACUCUAUCAGGGAGUGUAGUAAUGGAACAAGGGAUAAUGGCUUUGAAAAAAUGGAGGGGAGAUUUAGAUUAGGUGUGACGUGGGGAAGAAAUUCUUUACUCGGAGCACAAGCGCACAUGGGAAUUAGGGCUGAAGAUGCACCUUGCUUCUCUUCUUUUCCAUAAAGAAUAGGACAAAAUUAUCUAAAAACCAGCGUUAAAAAUAAACCCAGGGCACAGGAUGGGAGGUGCAGGGCAGUCCCCGUGGCCAAGGGGCAGCCUUUCUCUGUGGCGAGCCAAAUAACCCGGGGGAGCCAGCCCCAGAAAAGGCACCCUCAGACCCCCCAGUGCUCCUCCUUCCUCCACGUGGGUGCAUCUUCUGGGCCAUUCCCAACACAGCCGCCCAUAGUUGGCCACGCAUGGGCCACUCCAUCACAGAGGCUUGCUGAGGUCACAGUGGCCACCACUGCCCCGCCUUUGCUGUGGGCCCUAUAAAACAGGACCCCUGCAGCUGGCCCGCCACUCGCUGAGCUUCUAGGCACUCUGACAGCCGGCUUGUGCGGCAGGAAGAAGAGCCGAAGCAGCAAGGCGAGCGGCAGCCCUCAUUGGUGUGAGAGGACAGCGAUGCAGUCCCAGCAAGCACCAAGAAAGAAGGCAGCUGAUGAGAAGGAGAGGCGUCAUGGGCGGAGGCAGAGCGCCGGUGGCACAACAGACACCAGUGCCCAAGGGAGCUCUGGCGCGCAGCCCACAGACACCUAUAAGAGGUACCAUUGGCACCGCAACGACGCGGGGAACAGGCCGGCCCCUCAGCCAUCCAGCGACAGGGGGCCUGGGCCUUCCCAGUGGCGCAACGGCGGCGUGGGGAGAAGGCAGGAGGGUCAGGCAGACAGCCGUGUGGAGCACAGGCGUGCCUAUAGCCCACAACAGAGUGCGGGACCCAGCCAUGGCCGUAACACAAACGGCAGCGUCGCACCCACAAAUGGAAAGGAAGCACACAGUAGCAUGGGACCAUGGCAUGGAAGUGGACAACCCUGUGGUUCAGCACCCCGGCCUGGAAACUUCCCAGAUGGAAGGCAUCCCAUGCGGCCUGUCCCAAGAAGGGACAGGCUUGGUCAUCAGCCACUCCGGGCCGUGCGCAGUCCUUCCCGGCAACGAUACAGCGACAGGGAGUCUGGGCCUUACUACCAUUGGCGCAACAGCAGCGUGGGGCGAAGGCGGCAGGAGCGUCAGGCAGACAGCCGCGGGGAGCAGAGGCGUGCCGAUUGUCUGGAGCACAGUGCGGGACCCAGCCAUGGCCGUAACACAGACGGCAGUGUCGGACCCAUGCGUAGAAAUCGAAUGCACAGUGGCAUGGGACCUAGGCGUGAAAGUGGACAACCCUCUGGUUCAGCACCCCGGCCUCAAAACUUCCCAGAUGGAAGGCAUCCCAUGCGGCCAGUCGCAAGCAAGGACAGGCUUGGUCAUCAGCCACACCAAGCCGUGUGCAGUCCUUCCCAGCAUCCAUACAGCGACUGCAGGCCUCGGCCCUACAAUUGGCGCAACAGCGGUGUGGGGCGAAGGCAGCAGGAUCAGGCAGACAGCCGUGGGGAGCACAAGCAUGCCUAUCAUCCGUACUACAGUGCGGGACCCAGCCAGGGCCAUAAACCAGAUGGCAACGUCGGACCCACGCACAGAAAUCAACCUGACAGUGCACGUAGGCGUGGAACUGGACGACCCCGUGGUUCGGCACCCCAGCCUGGAAACCUUACGGAUGGAAGGCAUCCAGUUUGGGCAGUCCCAGGCAAGGACUGUCUUAGCCUUCUGCCCAACACCGAGGAGCCCAUGGAGGUGGAUCCACCAGCAGACAUGGAGGAACCGAUGGAAGUGGAUCCACCUCGGCCAGAACAUACCUGGGACUACCGCGGCGCGUCUUUGCUCUCUGCUAUCCGAGCACAAAAACAGUGUUGCGGGAGUGCCCGGCCAGCCCCCUACUCGUUGUCACGCAGGCUCCACCCCAAGCAUUAGCUUGGAGCCCCCAAACACCACAGCCAUCCCACAGGCUCACCUGCAAGACGUCCCGGCAAUAAACCACUCUGUUGCCAAUUCUCA
ensembl:lncRNA